rnacentral:rRNA from 1 species
AACGAACGCUGGCGGCAUGCCUAACACAUGCAAGUCGAACGAGACCUUCGGGUCUAGUGGCGCACGGGUGCGUAACACGUGGGAAUCUGCCCUUUGCUUCGGAAUAACAGUUAGAAAUGACUGCUAAUACCGGAUGAUGUCGAAAGACCAAAGAUUUAUCGGCAAAGGAUGAGCCCGCGUAGGAUUAGGUAGUUGGUGGGGUAAAGGCCUACCAAGCCGACGAUCCUUAGCUGGUCUGAGAGGAUGAUCAGCCACACUGGGACUGAGACACGGCCCAGACUCCUACGGGAGGCAGCAGUGGGGAAUAUUGGACAAUGGGCGAAAGCCUGAUCCAGCAAUGCCGCGUGAGUGAUGAAGGCCUUAGGGUUGUAAAGCUCUUUUACCAGGGAUGAUAAUGACAGUACCUGGAGAAUAAGCGCCGGCUAACUCCGCG